CGAACGCUGGCGGCAUGCCUACCACAUGCAAGUCGACCGAGACCUUCGGGUCUAGUGGCGCACGGGUGCGUAACGCGUGGGAACCUGCCCUUAGGUUCGGAAUAACUCCCCGAAAGGGGUGCUAAUACCGGAUAAUGUCUUCGGACCAAAGAUUUAUCGCCUUUGGAUGGGCCCGCGUUGGUUUAGCUAGUUGGUAGGGUAAAAGCCUACCAAGGCGACGAUCCAUAGCUGGUCUGAGAGGAUGAUCAGCCACACUGGGACUGAGACACGGCCCAGACUCCUACGGGAGGCAGCAGUGGGGAAUAUUGGACAAUGGGCGAAAGCCUGAUCCAGCAAUGCCGCGUGAGUGAUGAAGGCCUUAGGGUUGUAAAGCUCUUUUACCCGGGAUGAUAAUGACAGUACCGGGAGAAUAAGCUCCGGCUAACUCCGUG
rnacentral:rRNA from 1 species